GACGAACGCUGGCGGCGUGCUUAACACAUGCAAGUCGAACGGAAAGGCCUGCUUUCCCUUGUGGAUUGCGGGUACGAGAGUGUCGAACGGGUGAGUAACACGUGCGUGAUCUUCUGCCAACUCGGCUAUAAGCUUGGGAAACUAGCUGUAAUGCCCGCCAGGACUGUGGGGGGGUGCGGGUGGUGGCAACGGAUGGUUCGGCGGUUGGGGAUGAGCUCGCGGCGUGUGGGCUUGUUGGUGGGGUAAUGUUCGACCAAGGCGGGGACGGGGAGGCGGCCUGGGCGUGUGACCGGCCACACUGGGACUGAUACACCGCCCAGACUCAUACGGGAGGCAGGAGUGGGGAAUAGUGCACAAUGGGCGGAACGCUGAGGCAGCAACGCCGGGUGCGGGAUGAUGGCCUUCGGGUGGUAGCGCGCUUUCGCCUGUGAUGAAGCGUGAGUGACGGUAAUGGGUAAAGAAGCACCGGCUAACUACGUG
rnacentral:rRNA from 1 species